UGAAUGGCCGCAGUAUAUUGACUGUGCUAAGGUAGCAUAAUCAUUAGUUUAUUAAUUGUAAGCUGGAAUGAAUGAAUUUAUGAAAGUUCAGCUUUUUGAGGGAUAUAUAUUGAAUUUUUCUUUUCAUUCAAAAGAAUGAAAUAAUUUUGUAAGACGAGAAGACCCUAUAGAGUUUUAUUUAAGUAUAUAUAAAUGGUGGCUGUAACAAAUAUAAUAUAAAUUUGAUUGGGGUAAUAAUUUUAUAAAAUAAAUUAAAAUAUAAUUUUACUUAGUAUAUAGGUAAUAUGAACUUAAAUGAUUUAGUUGAUUAAAUUACCUUAGGGAUAACAGUGCUAUAUAAUUUUGAAGUUCUUAUUUAAAAUUAUGCUUGCAACCUCGAUGUUGAAUUAAGAAGUCUUUAUAAGGUAUAAGGUUUAUAAGAAGGUCUGUUCGACCUUUAAAUUCUUACAUGAUUUGAGUUCAA
rnacentral:rRNA from 1 species